rnacentral:rRNA from 1 species
UACGUAGGGUGCAAGCGUUGUCCGGAAUCAUUGGGCGUAAAGCGCGCGUAGGCGGCCCGAUAAGUCCGCUGUAAAAGUCACCGGCUCAACUGUUGAAAGCCGGUGGAUACUGUCGGGCUAGAGUACGGAAGAGGCAAGUGGAAUUCCUGGUGUAGCGGUGGAAUGCGCAGAUAUCAGGAGGAACACCUAUAGCGAAGGCAGCUUGCUGGGACGUGACUGACGCUAAGGCGCGAAAGCAUGGGGAGCGAACAGG